rnacentral:lncRNA from 1 species
GUAAAUUAAUUGUUCACCCACGAGAAGAUGCAAAAGACACCAGAGGACCACUACUUAGGACUUUCUCUGAUUCUCCAAAAAGAUUACUUAACACCAUAUAGAAGAGCAGAAGAGAGAGGGGUUAUGCCCUUCGCUGAUAUUACGGAGAUAAAAAUUACUCGGUAUACCAUCCACUAAAACACGGUACUUUUAAAUCAAUAGUUGUACCUCAUUUCGGCUACUAACAUCAACUUUAUCAUUGUUGGUGGACAGCUCCUCUUUCAUUUCAG